CCAGUAAUUCGCCUGAGUUCCUUAAAUGACUCGGCGAGGGACUUCCGGGAAACCAAAGUCUUUCGGUUCCAGGGGAAGUAUGGUUGCAAAGCUGAAACUUAAAGAAAUUGACGGAAGGGCACCACCAGGAGUGGAGCCUGCGGCUUAAUUUGACUCAACACGGGAAAACUCACCCGGCCCGGACACUGGAAGGAUUGACAGAUUGAGAGCUCUUUCUUGAUUCAGUGGGUGGUGGUGCAUGGCCGUUCUUAGUUGGUGGAGUGAUUUGUUUGGUUAAUUCCGAUAACGAACGAGACUCUAGCCUACUAAAUAGAUCGUCGGCUUACAAACGCCGACGAGACUUCUUAGAGGGACAGGCGGCGAUUCAGCCGCACGAAACAGAGCAAUAACAGGUCUGUGAUGCCCUUAGAUGUCCGGGGCCGCACGCGCGCUACACUGAAGUGAUCAGCGUGCAUUUUCAGCCUACUCUGCCAAGAGUGGGAAACCCAAUGAACCUUCUUCGUGAUUGGGAUAGGAGAUUGUAAUUAUUCUCCUUGAACGAGGAAUUCCCAGUAAGCGCGAGUCAUAAGCUCGCGUUGAUUACGUCCCUGCCCUUUGUACACACCGCCCGUCGCUACUACCGAUUGAAUGUUUUAGUGAGGUCUUCAGACUGGCCGGCGCAGCUGCUCUCGUAGUAGCAGCGCUGUGUUUGGGAAGAUGCC
rnacentral:rRNA from 1 species